AUUCAUCAAUCAUCCAUCCCUUAAAUCUCAUUCAUCCCAUAACAUUCAUUCAUUCAAAGUUUGUUCAUCCAAUUUUUAUCUAAAGAUUCAUUCAUCCAACCAUAAGUCAACUUAUCAUCCAAUUGACAAUUCGUGCAAUUGACCUAAUUCAUCCAAGAUUCAUCCUAAAAAUUAAAGAAAAUUGGAAGUCGCCACCUUCCAAGUCAUGAUAGCGAUCCCCUUGUACGAAUUCCACUACAAUGGUUGCAUCACUAACUUGUUUAUAACAAGCUUUGCUAUUUUAGAAAUUAGACUUACAAGCGCUUGUCCUCCAACAAAAUUCAAUGCAAAACAACAAUUAAGCUAAAAGAAAUCUUGCCUCAAAGUUGCCUGACUUUCUCGGCCCAGUCAAAGCACCCCUGGCCACAAAAAUCCUUGCCCUUGCUCCAUUCCAGUUGUGCAACGCAUAUGCUUUAGCAUUCCAGAAACUAGAAUUGAAGCCGCAUCACCUCAAACAAUUUUUUUUUUGAAAAUCUUGAGUGAAUUCCAAGAUAUGACCUUCCAAAGUAGCUUGAGUUGGCGGAGUACUACAUCUUCACUAUGGCCGACUCCUCUUCACUCCAACCACCAUAACUUCCUUGGCCUUUACUCAAUCUAAGCGUGCAAAUAGUCCUUGCAAAGCUGACAACAAGAACCAUCCUCCACAAAAGUUUCAGCUCCAAAUUCAAUACUGUCCACCAACAAUCGCCUUCCAAAGUCGGACCUCCAGAUCUGGCCGGCAGCUGACCUCCUUGUCACUAAAACCACCACAACUUUCUUGUUUUCUCUCCAAAAAAAAGCGUGCCUACUGUCCCGAGGAAGCUAACGACAAGAUCUAACUAUUGGUAAAGUUUGACGUUCUAUUUCCAGAUAACUAAUACACUACAGCUACGCAAUUGCAGCUCUAUAGAAACAAGGGUACGUGGGGAUGCAAUUUGGCAUGGCUUCGCCCCCCCCAAAAAAAAAAAAAAAAAAAAAAAAAAGAGAUGAGAGCGAGUGUGGCCACCCCCACCCUCUUAUCCAAGUAAGAAGAGACCAAAGGGUGGCGGCCACAUCUCCACCAUCCGAAUCCACCAACCCUAAUCAAGAUCAAGGGCCCACAUUAACCCUAAGUCCUAAACCCGAUUUUAGUGCUGGACAUGCCCAAAAUCCCUAAUUCGAAGCGUUUUUUGACAAAACUAACUCCACCAAUGUGUUUAAAACAUAUUUAAACAUCAAGUUUGACUAUUCAUACACCCAAAUCUAAGUUCUAGAUCAUUAAGAACCAACAAUUUGACAAACCCAUCACAAUAAAUUUACUUCUAAUUAUUUUCUUCUCCUUUUUCUUCUUCUUCUCCUUGUCCCUCUUCAUCUUCUUCCUUCUUUCUUCUUGGCUU
rnacentral:lncRNA from 1 species